AUACAUAAUUUUCAUCAUCAUUAUUAUUAUAAUUCAAAUAUGUCGAUGUUUUGAAGUCGACCUAAACGCCCAAUCAGCUAAAAUGGGCAAUUGAGUUCACACUCCAUUUACGGCCGUUUUCAAUAACCUAUCUAUCCCUAGUUUCGGUUACUAAAGAUAGACAAAUCUAUAUUUUUGUCCUUACUUACGUUCCAAUAACCUAUCGACGGGCAGCAGUUCCUAUCGGAUUUAUCUAUCCAUCGUCGGGAGGACGGAUAGCCUGCUAAAGAUAGAACGCUCAUACAAAUCGUGCUUACUUCCGUUUCAAUAUGAGUUUUAAGUAACUCUCCGGUAGGCGGCGCUAUCUCUAGUAUGGGCAUUCGCUUAUCUGUCAAAAUCGGCCGGUUACAUGUUUAUCUUUCGAAAGUAAAUCGCUAUAAUUUAAUAAUUGUUUCUCUUCAUAUUGGCAUAUUGUAGCAGUGAUGAUGGUGAUAUGGAAUUAUUUCAAAUGAUAAUGGAUUGUGAUGCAGAUAGUGAUAGUGAGGCCGAUAUCAUAUGGUUAGGAAAAUAAAGAUCGUCUGAAUUACAUGGCGAAGAUCAAUAAUUACGAAUUUGACUAUAGAUUUCUGAGCAAAGGUGUUGUGAAUGAAUUGAUUAAUUUAAUGAGACCAUAUUUGAGUGUAACGUCAAAAAGGUAAGAUAAAUUUUAACCAUAAAAGUAUUCGUUAUUACAACUUAUAUUUGUUUAUAGCAAUAGCAAAAUAAUACCUAAUUUUUGUUGUGUUACAAAAUCACACUCAACAGGAAUUCUAUAAUACUGCUGGAUUCCCAUGGUGCCCUAAAUGACAUUCAUAUACUAAUACAAUAACCUGGUAGGCUAUUUACCUUCAUUCUUAUUACACACUGAUACCUCUACAUUUUAUAUUUGUGUUACAGAUUCAAAUAUAGGACAGGAAUUUAGAAAUAGAAAAAGAGUAUUUUGAAUGUGUAAUUUGUGUGCAAUGCAUCAUUGAUGUUUCAAAAUGUUGUUGCUUGAUGGCCUGGGUCUACUCAUGAUACAACUAUAAUUGAGUCGACUAUUAUCAAAGCCGGCAAUCUGACUUUUGGACAAUGAUUGGUAAAUCAGAAAAACCAAUUAUUGACUUUGUAUUCCAUUGGCAGUCACAAAACUCUUCGGAACGACAUCUUAGAUAAAUAACAGGUUAACUAUUAACCUUUAUUUAAUGCAGGUUUUGAACCGUAUUCUGUGAAGGAGACGAUUAUAUUCAAAUCAAUCUGUAUUGACAUAUCAAUAAAAUUUUUUUGUCCAAAUGCACAGAUUGCCACCUUUGAUAAUAGACGACUCAAUUAACCAUUCCGAUUGAAAAGAUGCAUUGGUGUUUGUAAAAGAAGACUCCCUGUAUAUCAUUGAAAAGUAGAUUAAAACUAGAAAAUAUGCAAGCUGUUAUUAUAGCUGCCAUGCUGCAUAAUAUCGUCAGAAUGAAUUUAGAAGAAUUAGAAUCACAAAUUUCAGUCGCAGAUACAUUACAGGAAAAUAAUAUAAUUAUUUGUAACAAUUUUUCAAAACUUACAUCUGAAAUACAACUAUGUACUUAUAAAUAAUUGCUUCCAAAGAUAAUUUAUAAAAUAAACUCCAAAGAUAA